rnacentral:rRNA from 1 species
GGAAUUCGAUUCGGGUGUGACAAGGCCCGGGAACGUAUUCACCGCGGCGUGCUGAUCCGCGAUUACUAGCGAUUCCAACUUCACGCAGGCGAGUUGCAGCCUACGAUCCGAACUGAGACCGACUUUCUCCGAUUAGCUCCACCUUACGGUAUCGCGACGGUUUGUAUCGGCCAUUGUAGCACGUGUGUAGCCCCAGACAUAAAGGCCAUGCUGACUUGACGUCAUCCCCACCUUCCUCCGGUUUAUCACCGGCAGUCUUUGCAGAGUGCCCACCAUAACGUGAUGGCAACAGCAAACAAGGGUUGCGCUCGUUGCGGGACUUAACCCAACAUCUCACGACACAAGCUGACGACAGCCAUGCAGCACCUCUACGAGUGUCCUUGCGGAAGGCCCCUUUCGGAGCUGGUCACUCGCUGUUCAAGCCUGGGUAAGGUUCUUCGCGUUAAUCACUA